UCUUAAAAAUAAUUAAUAAUUAAUAUUAUUAUUACAUAAAAAUAAUAUUUAUUGUUUUAUUCACUGAAAUAUCAUGAAUUAAUGCGAAGUUGAAAUACAGUUACUGUAGGGGAACCUGCAGUGGGCUUAUAAUUAUCUUUAAUAUUCCAUAUCUUAUUUAUAUAUAAAAAAACUUAUAUAGUUUAAUGGUUAAAACAUUUGUCUCAUAAAUAAAUAAUGAAAGGUUCAAUUCCUUCUAUAAGUAUAUAAAUAUAUUAUAUAUAUAU
rnacentral:rRNA from 1 species